AUAUGUGUGUGUGUGUGUGUGUGUGUACAUAUAUAUAUGUACACACAUAUAUAUGUACACACAUAUAUAUGUACACACACACAUAU